UACGUAGGGUGCGAGCGUUAAUCGGAAUUACUGGGCGUAAAGCGUGCGCAGGCGGUUCGCCAAGUCCGAUGUGAAAGCCCCGGGCUCAACCUGGGAAUGGCAUUGGAAACUGGCGAGCUUGAGUGUGGCAGAGGGGGGUGGAAUUCCGCGUGUAGCAGUGAAAUGCGUAGAGAUGCGGAGGAACACCGAUGGCGAAGGCAGCCCCCUGGGCUGACACUGACGCUCAGGCACGAAAGCGUGGGGAGCAAACAGG
rnacentral:rRNA from 1 species